AUGACAGAGAACAGUCCUUCUGGGGAAGGUAUCAGCACUGGACAGAGAUCAGUGUGGAGCGAGUCCUCAGCUCAGCUCCUGUGCCUCCUGUUGCUCUGGCUCCCAGGUUCCCAAGGGGAAGUUAUUCUGACUCAAUCCCCAGCCUUCCUGUCUGUAGCUCUGGGAGAGAGAGUCACCAUCAACUGCAAAGCCAGUCAGAGCCUGCUACACAGUAAUGGAUACACUUAUCUACAGUGGUACCAACACAAACAAGGAAAUCCUGUGAAAUUACUGAUUUACGGAGUCUCCAAUUUAUAUUCUGGCACUCCCUCUCGAUUCAGUGGCAGUGGUUCUGGGACAGAUUUCACCCUCACAAUCAGCAAGCUGGAGCCUGAGGAUGUUGCCAUUUAUUUCUGUCAGCAAGGAACUCAUUCUCCUCCUUCACAGUGCUUCAGUCCUAAACAAAAACCUCCCCAGAUUAUUCAACCCUGA